rnacentral:rRNA from 1 species
UACAGGGGGGCAAGCGUUGUUCGGAAUUACUGGGCGUAAAGGGUUCGUAGGUGGCUACCUAAGUCAGACGUGAAAUCCCUCAGCUUAACUGGGGAACUGCGUCUGAUACUGGGUGGCUUGAGUGCAGGAGAGGAAUGCGGAAUUCCAGGUGUAGCGGUGAAAUGCGUAGAUAUCUGGAGGAACACCGGUGGCGAAGGCGGCAUUCUGGACUGUAACUGACACUGAUGAACGAAAGCCAGGGAGCAAACGGG